GGAGGACGGGGUUGGCCAAUCCAAAACUGCGCAAAUUCUCCCAGGGUCCGGCUUCACCUGCUUGCUCUCCAAGAUGAACCCCAGGCACGAGAUGGAAGAAAAGAUCAGGAUGUCGUCAAGAUAAUCAAACACAAACUGAUCCAGAAAAUCACGCAACACGUCAUUGAUCAGUGAUUGGAAAACCGCAGGGGCGUUAGUCAAACUGAAGGGCAUGACUAGACAUUCAAAAUGGCCCACCGGGGUUUUGAAGAUGGUUUUCCACUCAUCACCUUCACGGAUGCACACCAGAUGUUGGUGGAAUCCAUUCUUAACAACAAACCUGGUGGCGAGCGGAUCAUGAAGGAAUAUAAUUAAAGCAAGUGCUUCACAGAUGAAGCUUCCAACCACCUGUGACCUUGAAUAACUUUUCCUGGCAGCUGAUACUCCUGAGGAUGGCACUGAAGUGGAUGAUGACAUGAGUUGGGACAGUGACCACUCAUCAAUUUUUCUGCUGCUACAUCUGAUUCCCCUUCUGCCUUGGGUCAUAAGAGACCAGGGAAGGUGUCUUCCUGCCAAGCAGAGAAGCAUCUUGUGGUCUUCAAGACAGGAACCACCAUCCAAGAACAUCGUGACAGCCCUAUCUCCUGGCUGUGGGACGGAGGAAGAAAGUAGCUCAACAGUUCUUCAUCAUCCUUGACAAAAAUGCCAUUGCUUGCUGGUCAACUUCCUGUCUUGGUGCUUUUGACAAACUGUUUAAGGCACAUUACGUGUUUGCCACAACAUACAAACCCAUGCUGUGCAACAUGUUUAUGUUCAUCCAAACCACUGUGUGCAAUAUAGAUGUAGGUAAAGUGAAAGAAAGUCCACGUGUGGCAGAAAUUCAGGCUAGGUUGCGUCACUAGUACUUGAACAAAUCUUUUUUACAUUAAGUGUUUGGUUAAGUUGCACAAAUGCACUUGUUUGGUAUAUACAAGUAGUUAGUUCAUGGUUACUUAGAUGGAAAAACUCUUUGCCUUUAAUGUACUCUGUCAACUUAAAGCCGUCUACUGUAAUGGGAUGUACAUCGUGAUGUUACUGUGACACUACCACAAGUUAACAGGGAAUCUUAAAAAUGUGCUUUAGUUCAAU